UGUGGUUCCUGCUAUAUUCAACAUUGUAAGUGUACUUUUAGUCUUUUACCUUGGGAAUUGAAUUGUCAUCCAAACAGGUUCUGGGAUUGGAUCAUUGCACUAUGUACUACUCCCUCCUUUCCUAAAUAUAAGUCUUUUUAGAGAUUUCACUAGGGGACUACAUACGGAGCAAACUCUAAAGUGUAUAUAUAUAUAUACAUACGUAUGUAGUCCUUUAGUGAAACCUCUAAAAAGACCUAUAUUGAGGAACGGAGGGAGUAGAAAUUAGGAAGCACAUGCCAAACAGGUUUUAUUGACCCAUUUAUACAGUCGUAGCUAGUUGUAUUGACCCAUUUGUUAUUGCUGUGAAUUUGCAUAUAUGGCUGUCACUUGUAAAUUAUCUCUAGAUUGAUCGAUGUAUAUAUAGAGAGGAGAACGAGAUCGCCCAGUUUACCUGUUCGAGUUUGUUCUUUACGUAUUUCCUUUCUAGAUUUUGGGAAUUGUCAUGUGCUAAACUGUUCUUGACUUGUUGCAUGUGUUGCACAUCAGAUGCAGAUUCAUGGCAGUGAGAGAUUGAUGAUGCUGAGGUCGUUACCCCCAAAAUUAGCAAGACGCGGAAGGGCUGAGAUGUGGAAGCAUUAUGUUGUGUAAAAAGACAAGAUGAGUCAGAUUUGUGUUUUUCUUUGUUGGUUGGUGGAUGUGUAAGUGUUCUUGUACACAAGAUAAAAUGGCUUUGGUUUCAUGGCUGGUAGGAGGCGUUGAAGCCAUGAGACCUCAAGUGUUGAAUACUGAUGUUUGUCACCUUGUUUAUGGGAAUGUUGUUCCCAACCACUAAAAAAAAGCAAUGAAGUCUUGAGGUAUUGCGAGCAAUAUGCUAAAGAUGUUUGAAACUUGGCACUGCAAAUUGCUCAAAUGUUUCUUCAAGUUGGUCAAUCAGGAUGAGCAACAGUUCAGUUCAGACUGAAUGGGCGUAAUGUUUUGUCGCUCAUGAAUCUCAGGAUCAACAUGCAUAUAGUUGGUGUGUGCUUGCAUGCACCACUGAAAUCAGUCUAGAUCAGGGGCAGAUGUAAUCCAAGUUUUAUCUACAG
rnacentral:lncRNA from 1 species